GACGUAGGGCGCGAGCGUUGUCCGGAAUUAUUGGGCGUAAAAGAGCGUGUAGGCGGCCAGGUAGGUCUGCUGUGAAAACUCCAGCUCAACUUGGAGACGCCAUUCGAUACUGCGAUGACUUGAGUCCGGUAGGGGGAGUGUGGAAUUCCUGGUGUAGCGGUGAAAUGCGCAGAUAUCAGGAGGAACACCGGCGGCGAAGGCGGCACUCUGGGGCCGGUACUGACGCUGAGGAGCGAAAGCGUGGGUAGCAAACAGG
rnacentral:rRNA from 1 species